rnacentral:rRNA from 1 species
AGAGCGAACGCUGGCGGCAGGCUUAACACAUGCAAGUCGAGCGGGCGUAGCAAUACGUCAGCGGCAGACGGGUGAGUAACGCGUGGGAACGUACCUUUUGGUUCGGAACAACCCAGGGAAACUUGGGCUAAUACCGGAUAAGCCCUUACGGGGAAAGAUUUAUCGCCGAAAGAUCGGCCCGCGUCUGAUUAGCUAGUUGGUGAGGUAAUGGCUCACCAAGGCGACGAUCGGUAGCUGGUCUGAGAGGAUGACCAGCCUCACUGGGACUGAGACACGGCCCAGACUCCUACGGGAGGCAGCAGUGGGGAAUAUUGGACAAUGGGCGCAAGCCUGAUCCAGCCAUGCCGCGUGGGUGAUGAAGGCCCUAGGGUUGUAAAGCCCUUUCGGCGGGGAAGAUAAUGACGGUACCGCAGAAGAAGCCCCGGCUAACUUCGUGCCAGCAGCCGC